rnacentral:rRNA from 1 species
CGGCGGGCCUGUUCCGUCGCCCCGUUCCCCUUCCCCCACGAACAAAACCCCGGCGCACGAUGCGCCAAGGAAUCGCAACGAGAAAAGGAACGAGCACCCGUUGCGCGCCGGGAACGGAAUGCGCACGGGCGGCCUCGUAUUCUUUGAAAACAAAACGACUCUCGGCAACGGAUAUCUCGGCUCUCGCAUCGAUGAAGAACGUAGCGAAAUGCGAUACUUGGUGUGAAUUGCAGAAUCCCGUGAACCAUCGAGUCUUUGAACGCAAGUUGCGCCCGAAGCCUUCGGGCCGAGGGCACGUCUGCCUGGGUGUCAUGCACCGUCGCCCCCCAUCCCCACUCCCCCRAGGGGAGUCGGGAAGCCCGGGGCGGACAAUGGCCUCCCGUGCGCUCUCGCUCGCGGUUGGCCUAAAUCCGAGUUGUUGGCGGCGAGCGCCACGGCAAGCGGUGGUUGGAAAGACCCUCUGAAGUGCCG